rnacentral:rRNA from 1 species
AGCAGCCGCGGUAAUUCCAGCUCCAAUAGCGUAUAUUAAAGUUGUUGCAGUUAAAAAGCUCGUAGUUGAACUUCAGGCCUGGCUGGACGGUCCGCCUUCUGGGUGAGUACUGUCUGUGGUCGGGUCCUACCUUCUGGCGAAGCGUCAUGGCCUUAACCGGCCGUGGCGGGGAGCCAGGACUUUUACUGUGAAAAAUUAGAGUGUUCAAAGCAGGCACGCGCUUGAAUACAUUAGCAUGGAAUAAUGGAAUAGGACAGUGGUUCUAUUUGUUGGUUUCUAGGACCGUUGUAAUGAUUAAUAGGGAUAGUUGGGGGCAUUAGUAUUCAAUUGUCAGAGGUGAAAUUCUUGGAUUUAUUGAAGACUAACUACUGCGAAAGCAUUUGCCAAGGAUGUUUUCAUUAAUCAAGAACGAAAGUUAGGGGAUCGAAGACGAUCAGAUACCGUCGUAGUCUUAACCAUAAACUAUGCCGACUAGGAAUCGGGCGAUGUUGACAAAAUGACGCGCUCGGCACCUC